ACKGCUCAGUAACACGUGGACAACCUACCCUCAGAUCUGGGAUAACUCCGGGAAACUGGAGAUAAUACCGGAUAGACCGUGAACGCUGGAAUGCCUCACGAUCCAAAGCUUUUGCGUCUGAGGAUGGGUCUGCGGCCGAUUAGGUAGUUGCUGGGGUAACGUCCCAACAAGCCGAUAAUCGGUACGGGUUGUGAGAGCAAGAGCCCGGAGAUGGAUUCUGAGACACGAAUCCAGGCCCUACGGGGUGCAGCAGGCGCGAAAACUUUACAAUGCUGGCAACAGCGAUAAGGGGACCUCGAGUGCCAGGUUACAAAUCUGGCUGUCGUGAUGCCUAAAAAGCAUUAUAUAGCAAGGGCCGGGCAAGACCGGUGCCAGCCGCCGCGGUAACACCGGCGGCUCGAGUGGUGACCGCUAUUAUUGGGUUUAAAGGGUCUGUAGCCGGCCGGAUGAGUCUCUUGAGAAAUCUGGCCGCUUAACGGUCAGGCUUUCAGGAGAUACUGUCUGGCUCGAGGCCGGGAGAGGUGAGAGGUACUUCAGGGGUAGGGGUGAAAUCUUGUAAUCCUUGAAGGACCACCAGUGGCGAAGGCGUCUCACCAAAACGGACCUGACGGCAAGGGACGAAAGCUAGGGGCACGAACCGGAUUAGAUACCCGGGUAGUCCUAGCCGUAAACGAUACUCGCUAGGUGUCGGCCGCGGUGCGACCGUGGUCGGUGCCGUAGGGAAACCGUGAAGCGAGCCACCUGGGAAGUACGGCCGCAAGGCUGAAACUUAAAGGAAUUGGCGGGGGAGCAC
rnacentral:rRNA from 1 species